CCUGCAUACGCAGCUGGGUGGCAGGUCGCGUUCAUGUAGCUGCCAGUCCGGCCAUGCAGCGUCGUUUGCAUGGCGGCCUCACGUCAGUCGCAGCUGGGGCCACACUAUCCAGUGAAGAGGCUGUGGUGCUAGAUUUAAACAGACUCUCAAGCUAUUGCUGUGAUUGACCUUCCAUUUUCUGGCCUGAAAGACAUUCAGGGAAAGAGGAAGAGAUGGCAGUUUCUUGGGAUCGCAUGAAAUGGAGAGUGGAUCAGAGGUCAAGAAAGAGCCACAUGCAGGCCUGUUCACUGCUUAUGAAGUGUCCCUCACACAGGAGGGAAGCAAGCCUCAAACCUCCAUUUCUGUCUGUACUAUCCAACAAUGACAAGCUCGAUAACAACAGCAACAAUAAAAACAACAAGGGCAACAAAAGGGAAAAUAAAUACAAUAACAUAA